CGCGAGUGCGGGCACCAGUAGGAAGACCAGGCCGUAGGGCAGGUUCCAGGCCGCGCUGCAGGGGCACUGAAAGACCACCGCCGAGAAGAUCUUCUCCCCUCCCGCCGUCAGCAGAGUCACCAAGCCAUAGCCCAGCGCGCUGCGGUGCUUGAGAUUUGGAGAAAAGAAUUUAGAAGAGAAAGUAAUGUGCUCAAAAGCUGCUGAGUACAUUAAUUGGUGAAGCCAAGAAUGGAAUCCAGAACAGUCUUCAUCUAGAAUUGCUUUUACUUCUUACUGAUUUUUCUCUGUAAUAGGGUAUUCACUGCAAAUAAAUCACAGAGAUGAACUACAAACUGCUCGUUAUAUUAUCCCAAGACGAAAUCACUGUCUGCACCCCAUCAAGAACCUGUUUUCCUUUUGCCUUUUGAACUGCAGAAGCAUCAGCAGCAUUCAGCCCAUCUGAUGCCCCCUGCCCUGGGGACUGCUGCAAGAUAUUUCUUUUUAGCUUCAGUUCCACAAGGGAAUCUGAGCAAACCCAAACAGCUGCUAUGCUGUACUGGCCCCCUCAAUGUACCCUCUGAUCUUUCUAACUGUUACUCACCUACUGUGGCAGAACUGCUCUAAUAAAUCUACCUCCUCUUUA